CGGACUUGAAUUCACACACCAGGUAUAAGAAAGUAGAUAAUCAGAGUUUUUUUACCCGAAGUUUGAAGACACGUUUUCUGGAUCAUCACUUUCAUGUUUCUUUCUGCGGAAAAUAUUCUCAAUCUCAGCUAUCGAUUCACUAAUGGCGUAACUACUACAGCACAUCAUCCAUCCCGGAAAGUUUAGGUUAAGUGUGAUUAUGGACUUAAGAGUGUUCGAAAAAAUGCUUGAAAAGUAGUUUUAGCUGGUGUAAAACAGGAAUGCCAGCAGCAGAAAAGCAAUAAGUUGGGCUAAAAGUUUGCUAUCUAUAUUUAGGUCGGCCGUGUCGUAGCUUAUUAAGGAAAAUUGGUAAAUUUUGGCUACAACAUCCAAGCCAAACUUCCGGUCAAUGAAAAAUAAGAUUUUUAUCGGCCGGGGAUAUACUGGGAGACAAGCCAGCAUCCAGCUCAGGUACGUGUCGGCUUCGAUACGGUAAAUGUCAAUAGAAUUUCACUUUAUUUGAUUAGUUUUGGGAUGUAUUAAGUUAGGGUCGGCUUGAUUUGUAUAUUAAGUGGAAGGUUUAUGAAUUAAACCAUUCACCAAGUCUUUCGUAUAACCGACUUUUGUUGGAGAAGAAUGAGAAGUCAAGAAAUAAUUUAAUGGUCAAGACCGAUUUUAUUUG